CCCUUAGAUGUUCUGGGCCGCACGCGCGCUACACUGACGAUGGCAACGAGUUUUUCCUUCGCCGAAAGGUGUGGGUAAUCUUUUGAAACAUCGUCGUGCUGGGGAUAGAUCAUUGCAAUUUUUGAUCUUGAACGAGGAAUUCCUAGUAAGCGCGAGUCAUCAGCUCGCGUUGAUUACGUCCCUGCCCUUUGUACCCACCGCCCGUCGCUACUACCGAUUGAAUGGUUUAGUGAGGACUCCUGAUUGGCGCCGCCGCCCCGGCAACGGAGCAGCGGACUGCCGAAAAGUUGUUCAAACUUGAUCAUUUAGAGGAAGUAAAAGUCGUAACA
rnacentral:rRNA from 1 species